rnacentral:rRNA from 1 species
AUACGGAGGGCGCAAGCGUUGUUCGGAAUUAUUGGGCGUAAAGAGCAUGUAGGCGGACUGUUAAGUCUGGUGUGAAAGCCCGGGGCUCAACCCCGGAAGUGCAUUGGAUACUGGCAGUCUUGAGUAUGGGAGAGGAAAGUGGAAUUCCGAGUGUAGGAGUGAAAUCCGUAGAUAUUCGGAGGAACACCAGUGGCGAAGGCGGCUUUCUGGACCAAUACUGACGCUGAGAUGCGAAAGCGUGGGGAGCGAACAGGAUUAGAAACCCUGGUAGUCC